rnacentral:rRNA from 1 species
UACAGAGGUCUCAAGCGUUGUUCGGAUUCAUUGGGCGUAAAGGGUGCGUAGGCGGCGAGGUAAGUCGGAUGUGAAAUCCCGGGGCUCAACCCCGGAACUGCAUUCGAUACUGCUUUGCUUGAGUACUGGAGAGGAGACUGGAAUUUACGGUGUAGCAGUGAAAUGCGUAGAUAUCGUAAGGAAGACCAAGUGGCGAAGGCGAGUCUCUGGACAGUUACUGACGCUGAGGCACGAAGGCCAGGGGAGCAAACGGG